GACAGAGGGUGCAACCGUUGCUCGGAAUUACUGGGCGUAAAGCGCGUGUAGGCGGGUCGGCAAGUCAGGUGUGAAAUCCCUAGGCUCAACCUAGGAACUGCACUUGAAACUGCCGGUCUCGAGUGAUGGAGAGGAGAGCGGAAUUCCUGGUGUAGAGGUGAAAUUCGUAGAUAUCAGGAGGAACACCGGUGGCGAAGGCGGCUCUCUGGACAUCUACUGACGCUGAGACGCGAAAGCGUGGGGAGCAAACAGG
rnacentral:rRNA from 1 species